UUUGGGUGGGGAAUAACUCAGGGAAACUUGAGCUAAUACCGCAUAAUGCAGCGGCUCGACAUCGAGACAGUUGUUAAAGCAGCAAUGCGCCUAAAGAGGAGCCUGCGUCUGAUUAGCUAGUUGGUGAGGUAACGGCUCACCAAGGCGACGAUCAGUAGCUGGUCUGAGAGGACGGCCAGCCACAAUGGCACUGAAACACGGGCCAU
rnacentral:rRNA from 1 species